AGUAAUACAUCGGAACGUGCCCAGUCGUGGGGGAUAACUACUCGAAAGAGUAGCUAAUACCGCAUACGAUCUGAGGAUGAAAGCGGGGGACCUUCGGGCCUCGCGCGAUUGGAGCGGCCGAUGGCAGAUUAGGUAGUUGGUGGGAUAAAAGCUUACCAAGCCGACGAUCUGUAGCUGGUCUGAGAGGACGACCAGCCACACUGGGACUGAGACACGGCCCAGACUCCUACGGGAGGCAGCAGUGGGGAAUUUUGGACAAUGGGCGAAAGCCUGAUCCAGCAAUGCCGCGUGCAGGAUGAAGGCCUUCGGGUUGUAAACUGCUUUUGUACGGAACGAAAAAGCUUCUCCUAAUACGAGAGGCCCAUGACGGUACCGUAAGRAUAAGCA
rnacentral:rRNA from 1 species